rnacentral:rRNA from 1 species
GAUGAACGCUGGCGGCGUGCCUAAUACAUGCAAGUCGAGCGAACAGACGCGGCGCUUGCUCCUCUGACGUUAGCGGCGGACGGGUGAGUAACACGUGGAUAACCUACCUAUAAGACUGGGAUAACUUCGGGAAACCGGCGCUAAUACCGGAUAAUAUAUUGAUCCGCAUGGUUCAAUAGUGAAAGACGGUUUUGCUGUCACUUAUAGAUGGAUCCGCGCCGCUUUAGCUAGUUGGUACGGUAACGGCUUACCAAGGCUACGAUGCGUAGCCGACCUGAGAGGGUGAUCGGCCACACGGGAACGGAGACACCGUCCAGACGCCUACGGGAGGCAGCAGUAGGGAACCGUCCGCAGUGGGCGAAAGCCUGACGGAGCAACGCCGCGUGAGUGAUGAAGGUCUUCGGAUCGGAAAACUCUGUUAUUAGGGAAGAACAAAUGUGUAAGUAACCAUGCACGUCUUGACGGUACCUAAUCAGAAAGCCACGGCUAACUACGUG